rnacentral:rRNA from 1 species
GACGAACGCUGGCGGCGUGCCUAAUACAUGCAAGUCGAGCGGAGCUUCAUCCGUCCCUUCGGGGAAGGAUGCGGCUUAGCGGCGAACGGGUGAGUAACACGUGGGCAACCUGCCUGCAAGUCGGGGAUAACUUGCGGAAACGUGAGCUAAUACCGGAUAGGUUUUCCCGGCGCAUGCCGGGAAAAGGAAAGGCGGAGCAAUCUGCCGCUUGCAGAUGGGCCUGCGGCGCAUUAGCUGGUUGGUGAGGUAACGGCUCACCAAGGCGACGAUGCGUAGCCGACCUGAGAGGGUGACCGGCCACACUGGGACUGAGACACGGCCCAGACUCCUACGGGAGGCAGCAGUAGGGAAUCUUCGGCAAUGGACGGAAGUCUGACCGAGCAACGCCGCGUGAGUGAAGAAGGUCUUCGGAUCGUAAAACUCUGUUGCCAGGGAAGAAGAAGCUCUUGUUAACUGCAGGAGCGGUGACGGUACCUGAGAAGAAAGCCCCGGCUAACUAC